rnacentral:rRNA from 1 species
CAGUAGCCGCGGGAAUACGUAGGGUGCAAGCGUUAAUCGGAAUUACUGGGCGUAAAGCGUGCGCAGGCGGUUUUUUAAGACAGAUGUGAAAUCCCCGGGCUCAACCUGGGAACUGCACUUGUGACUGGCAAGCUAGAGUGUGGCAGAGGGGGGUGGAAUUCCGCGUGUAGCAGUGAAAUGCGUAGAUAUGCGGAGGAACACCGAUGGCGAAGGCAGCCCCCUGGGCCAACACUGACGCUCAUGCACGAAAGCGUGGGGAGCAAACAGGAUUAGAUACCCCAGUAGUCCCUGUCUCUUAUAC